rnacentral:rRNA from 1 species
CACGUAGGGCGCAAGCGUUGUCCGGAAUUAUUGGGCGUAAAGAGCUCGUAGGUGGUUCGGUAAGUCGGAUGUGAAAUCUCCAGGCUCAACCUGGAGGGGUCAUUCGAUACUGCCGUGACUAGAGUUCGGUAGGGGAGUGUGGAAUUCCUGGUGGAGCGGUGAAAUGCGCAGAUAUCGGGAAGAACACCCGUGGCGAAGGCGGUUCUCUGGGACGGUACUGACGCUGAGACGCGAAAGCGUGGGGAGCAAACAGG